rnacentral:rRNA from 1 species
UACCAGACUCCUACGGGAGGCAGCAGUGGGGGAUAUUGCACAAUGGGGGGAACCCUGAUGCAGCGACGCCGCGUGAACGAAGAAAUAUUUCGGUAUGUAAAGUUCUAUCAGCAGGGAAGAAAAUGACAGUACCUGACCAAGAAGCCCCGGCUAACUACGUGCCAGCAGCUGCGGUAAUACGUAGGGGGCGAGCGUUAUCCGGAUUCACUGGGCGUAAAGGGAGCGUAGACGGCCAUGCAAGCCAGGGGUGAAAGCCCGGGGCCCAACCCCGGGACUGCCCUUGGAACUGCAUGGCUGGAGUGCGGGAGGGGCAGGCGGAAUUCCUGGUGUAGCGGUGAAAUGCGUAGAUAUACGGAGGAACACCAGUGGCGAAGGCGGAUUGCUGGACAGUAACUGACGCUGAGGCGCGAAAGCGUGGGGAGCAAACAGGAUUAGAUACCCCUGUA